AUUGAACGCUAGCGGGAUGCCUUACACAUGCAAGUCGAACGGCAGCGUGGACUUCGGUCUGGCGGCGAGUGGCGAACGGGUGAGUAAUGUAUCGGAACGUGCCCAGUAGCGGGGGAUAACUACUCGAAAGAGUAGCUAAUACCGCAUACGCCCUACGGGGGAAAGGGGGGGAUCGCAAGACCUCUCACUAUUGGAGCGGCCGAUAUCGGAUUAGCUAGUUGGUGAGGUAAAGGCUCACCAAGGCGACGAUCCGUAGCUGGUUUGAGAGGACGACCAGCCACACUGGGACUGAGACACGGCCAGACUCCUACGGGAGGCAGCAGUGGGGAAUUUUGGACAAUGGGGGAAACCCUGAUCCAGCCAUUCCGCGUGUGCGAUGAAGGCCUUCGGGUUGUAAAGCACUUUUGGCAGGAAAGAAAUCGCAUCAAUUAAUACUUGGUGUGGAUGACGGUACCUGCAGAAUAAGCACCGGCUAACUACGUGCCAGCCGCCGCAGUAA
rnacentral:rRNA from 1 species